CAGCCUUAAUGCCCAUCAACAGGAGAAGGGCGAAGGCCUUAUGGCCUUGUCUGUAUCUCAGCCGUUAGCAAGACACCUAUGUAAUGAUACAGGAAGAUCAUCAGGAGAGUAUUGGAUGAACAAAGCAAGGUGCAGAAGAAAGAGAAAACCCAAGGGUGGUGCAGUGGCUGCAUGAAGCUAGCAGUGUCUGACCUUCCUCCUGUUCCACCAUCUUUGGCGUGUGGGGUCAAGUCUGUGCUCCUCGAGAGCACAGGCCAGAGCGAGCGGGCCCAUCUGCUUCUAUUUCACUCCACGUUACUCAUCAGGAUGUGUUUGCC